GCUCAGGAGCAGGGCAGAGAGCCCUAGCUAGUGUGAGGAACAAGUGUGCUAAAGACAAGUUGGUUAUGAGAUCCACUCAAGCUGCCUUCCUGGGAGAACAGGCUAGAGAAGGCUGUUGUAUUCUGUCUUUGCCAAGGUUUGUUUUGUGGCCCCUUUGAGUACUAUAAAAGGGUUUUAAUUUGGCUUCCAUGGCUUGGAAUGACCCUUUCUGCUCCCUGGGAAAAGGCGGCCAUACUGUGGUUUUGAGACUAACCCUGGACCACACUGCCUGGGUUCAAGCCCCCUUUCCAUCACGUUGCACCUGCGUGUAGAUGACCUCUCUGAAGAAGGCCGGUUUCCCUCCUCUGCACCAUGGGCAUCCUCCAUGCAGAGAUCGUUCUACAUGCAGUGCUCAGAACAGCGCCUGGCUUCCAGCCAUGGAAACAGUGCUGUUGUUAAGCCAGGAGCAUCUUGAGGCCUGGGGCCCCGAUCCCUCCCUCUUCCCAGCAGGGUCCUUGUGCCUACAUGCUCGGUAUCCUUGUGGGUUUAAGAUGGUGACUUUUAGCUGGUCCUUGGAGGGGUAAAUUUUAACACACAGAGAUGGAGAGGAGACAGAUGGCGGGCAGGACGGGUGGAGACAGUGCAGUGUAGGGGGCAGUCUCGGGGGCAAAGGGCCAGGGCCAGAGAAAACCAAGACUGUGCAGGAGGUAACAGCAAGGGCUUCUGGGUGGAGGUCUGACAGUGUAGGAAGCCUGGGAGAGCAGGUGGGCUUCCUGGAGGAGGUGAGAUGGGUCAACUGGCAUAAGGGAAAAGUGGAAAGAGGAAGGAGUCACCGGAAAAGCCAGUGAGCGUUCGUAAAUCUCAGUUCCCUCCGCUCAUAAAGUUGUGCAGAUGCAUUUUUCUGUCAGUUUUAUAUUAACAUUUACAUAACAAGUAGAUUGAGAGAUGGCAUUAUUUACAUAUAUAUGGAGGCCGGCUGGAACUGGGGAUCCUCACGCCUGUACAUGACGUUUUAUUGAUUAAUAAAUUAGACAUUUACAGAUCAGGCACAAAUCAAAUGCAUCCAUUUCAGACACCCAUCAGGUGCAAAUGAAUGUAAAUUGGCGGCCUCAUUUGCAUACGGAAAGCAAACCACUUAGUUGUCAUUUGUCAUAGGCACCCUUGAGAGUCUGUAAUUUGCCUUGUGGGGCCAGCCAGCAGCAGGGCCACCCCUGUGCUCUGGGUGCUUUCAGAGACUGGCAAGAGGUGGCCUGUGCAACGCUCCUGUCUUCAGCUCCCCCUCCCCAGUCACCAGCAUCGUCCCGGAGGUGGGCUGUGGAGCCUCACUGGGGCCCUUGCCUUGUCACAGAAUCAGAGUCUGGGUGGCCUGAACCAGAAGAAAUCUGGAAGUCCAUCUACACCAGUCCUGUAUUUUACAGAUGGUGAACUGAAGUCCAGAGAGGGGAAGUGACUUGCCUCAGGUCACACAGCCAUGCGGGCACUGUGUCAGGACUGUGUCAGAACCCAGUUCUCCUUACCCCAAGUGCAGUACUUUGUGAUGCCAUUAUGGCUCUUCCUCGCAGGAAAGAGAAGAACAAAGGCUGUAGCUUCUAGAACCAUUGCCUCCUGAUUCCAUUUCCUGGAGCAGCACCUGGGUGUGGGGGGAAGAGGGGGUUCAGGAGAAGGAUGAACUGCUAUUCUCAGGCUGAGCUUGUUGGCAAGUCUCUGCCGAUGCCCGAUUUCAGGGCGCCUGGAAGCCCCUCGCCCCUGACAGUAUUUCCCCCACCGUGCUCUGACUCCCCACACUCUUUUACUGACAGAAAGGGCGUUUCAUUAGGUAAGAAAAGAUAGUUUAAAGGCUGGCUGGUCUGGAGAGAGAAGGUGAGCAGAAGAGCCUUGGUCCCCUGCCUGGGUGAGAGUCAGGCCCCUGAGAAUGAUGGAAAAGGCACAGAAGGGGCGCACCAGAGGCCAAACUUCACCUCCUUCACAAUCGAAGAGAGCAAUGGGCUGCAAGGAUGUUACAUGUGGGUCUUUAUUUUGUUCCUUCCUUGAUGUGAGAAAUUGAAAGGAGGCAGGUCAAGGUGAACCCGCCCUUGAUUCAGCACACAGUUGAAUCUCCCCGUCUGGACACCUCUAUGCACCCUGUCCUCCCUGCCAUGACACCCCGGCCUCAACGUCCCUCAAGGGCAGAGUCCCGGAGCAUCUUGUUGCUGUUUUGUGAAUCUCGAAUGAUAAUUAUAUGUAUAAAAUUCGA